GACGAACGCUGGCGGCGUGCUUAACACAUGCAAGUCGAACGGAAAGGCCCUGCUUGCAGGGUACUCGAGUGGCGAACGGGUGAGUAACACGUGGGCGAUCUGCCCUGCACUUCGGGAUAAGCCUGGGAAACUGGGUCUAAUACCGGAUAGGAGCCAUUUUUAGUGUGAUGGUUGGAAAGUUUUUUCGGUGUAGGAUGAGCUCGCGGCCUAUCAGCUUGUUGGUGGGGUAAUGGCCUACCAAGGCGGCGACGGGUAGCCGGCCUGAGAGGGUGGACGGCCACAUUGGGACUGAGAUACGGCCCAGACUCCUACGGGAGGCAUCAGUGGGGAAUAUUGCACAAUGGGCGCAAGCCUGAUGCAGCGACGCCGCGUGGGGGAUGACGGCCUUCGGGUUGUAAACUCCUUUCGCUAGGGACGAAGCUUUUUGUGACGGUACCUAGAUAAGAAGCACCGGCUAACUACGUG
rnacentral:rRNA from 1 species